UACGGGGGGAGCAAGCGUUGUUCGGAUUUACUGGGCGUAAAGGGCGCGUAGGCGGUAGCACAAGUCAGUUGUGAAAUCUCCGGGCUUAACUCGGAAAGGUCAACUGAUACUGUGCGACUAGAGUGCAGAAGGGGCAACUGGAAUUCUCGGUGUAGCGGUGAAAUGCGUAGAUAUCGAGAGGAACACCUGCGGCGAAGGCGGGUUGCUGGGCUGACACUGACGCUGAGUUGCGAAAGUGUGGGGAGCAAACAGG
rnacentral:rRNA from 1 species